rnacentral:tRNA from 4 species
GGUACGGUAGCCAAGCGGUAAGGCGAGGGUCUGCAAAACCCUUAUACGCGGGUUCAAUUCCCGCCCGUACCUCCA